AGCUAACCUAGAACAAGACAGAAACAGAACCAAGUCAGCAACUAGGGACAAUGCAGCAGAUGCUGGUCUCAACAUUCCAGGUGUUCUAAAGGAGCCUCAGACUGCCGACCCCUCCAUCAGACUUGACACCCACAGCAUCUUUUCAUCAGGGAGCCGUGUAUCAGCAAUGCACCAUCCUUCCCACUCUGUUUUCCAUCUUUUCCCCAGACUCCUAGUUUAUCUAUUUCUAUCAUCCCAUUUAACGUACUUCCCUUCACACUAUUCUCAUCUGGGAUAACAUAGCAUAAAUGAGCCUUAGGAAGUGAUGCUAUCUUCUCUUUUCUAGGAUUCAUGUAGGGAAAGAAGAAGCUAAUGAUAGUCUUGCAGCUUUUUUCAUCUUGGCUACCCUGUUACAUUCCAGUGAAUUUGUGUGAGAAAGUUGUUUGUCCAGGCACAACCAAAUAAUUUAUGUUUGCCAGCAGAAGACAAGAAUUUUCUCAGUACCCAGGCAAGACAAAUUGUUGGGGCUUCUUCCCCAGUAAACCCCUUGACUGAUAGAAAAGACUUCUAGCUUCCUGGCACCCUCCACAAAGCAGGAAAGGGUGGAUGGCUCCAGGUGAAGAAAAAGAAUAGCAGUUAAGUUCCAUGGGAUAAUGGCAUUUGCAGACCUGCAGACUUUUCCUCCUAAGGGCUUGUGCAACCAGCUUGCAGGUGCAACAGCUCAUGACAGCUGAGGGUGCCACUCAGCUCAGCCAGAGGGCCCUCUUAGGCAGACAAGUGACAGGCAUAUUUCAGAAAGAAAGAUCUACUUCAGGCCACUGGCAGUCUUGACCACCCUUGCCCUGUGAACACACAGGAGCAACUUCUCAAGCUCGAUCUUCAUCAUUGCCCCUGGAAGGUAUGUUUGUCUUAGCACAAGGCUACACUUGGCCCAUACCUUCACAUGAAGUGAUUCAUUCUAACAAAUGGAUUACUGCAGGAAGAUGUUGGGAGAAGAGUCAGCACUCAGGCCAUCACCCAACCCUUUCCAGAAAGGUCUCCUGAAAGGAAUUAACAAAUGGAUCAGCUUGUGAAUCAAAUUCUAAGACUAAAAUAUUCUGAAUUUUGAGGGAGGAUGUUCAACAGAGACUAUUCUCUUAAUGAAAAGCAAAGAACAAAUAACUAAUUUGUAAAUCUGAGAACAGUGAGUACUGAGUUCAGAGUCUGGCUUUCCCUUACAUACUGGAAUGUUUCUUCAUGCCAUGUAAUCUGAUACUGAUUUAAGGUACAGACGUUGAAGCUUUCAGUCCUUCCUGCCCUGAUGACAUGACAAGUUGGUUUUAAAAGCCACUCUGUGAUAUCUGCAGCUGGCAGGGAGGCUGGAGGUGCCAAAGGAGAAGUUAUUGCAGUAAUGUUGGUGGAAAGAGAAGACUUGGAUUUAGCUGACAGCAGGUGAAAGGGAAAGAAUUGGCUGGAUUUAAAAGGUAUUUAGGGGGCAAGAUCAACAGCAUUUGGUUGCUAACUGGAUUUGAGAAGGGAGAGCCAGAAGUUAAGAAUAUCUGAGAACAAUGUGCACAAUUCACAGGG